ACCCAGCUGAUGAGUUCCAAAUAGGGUGAAACGCUCUUUCUGGAU
rnacentral:hammerhead_ribozyme from 1 species